rnacentral:rRNA from 1 species
UACGUAGGAGGCAAGCGUUGUCCGGAAUUACUGGGCGUAAAGGGCGCGUAGGCGGUCAGCACAAGUCAGUUGUGAAAUCUCCGGGCUUAACUCGGAAAGGUCAACUGAUACUGUGCGACUAGAGUGCAGAAGGGGCAACUGGAAUUCUCGGUGUAGCGGUGAAAUGCGUAGAUAUCGAGAGGAACACCUGCGGCGAAGGCGGGUUGCUGGGCUGACACUGACGCUGAUGCGCGAAAGCCAGGGGAGCGAACGGG